GAUGAAGAACGUAGCGAAAUGCGAUACUUGGUGUGAAUUGCAGAAUCCCGUGAACCAUCGAGUUUUUGAACGCAAGUUGCGCCCGAAGCCGUUAGGCUGAGGGCACGCCUGCCUGGGUGUCACUCAUCGCGUCGCCCCCCACAAAUUCUCCGUCAGGGGAGCUUGUGUUUCGGGGGCGGAUACUGGUCUCCCGUGCUCAUGGCGCGGUUGGCCGAAAUAGGAGUCCCUUCGAUGGACGCACGAACUAGUGGUGGUCGUAAAAGCCCUCGUCUUUUGUUUCGUGCCGUUAGUCGCGAGGGAAGCUCUUCAAAAACCCCAACGCGUCGUCUCUUGACGGCGCUUCGACCGCGACCCCAGGUCAGGCGGGACUACCCGCUGAGUUUAAGCAUAUCAAUAAGCGGAGGA
rnacentral:misc_RNA from 1 species